GACGAACGCUGGCGGCGUGCUUAACACAUGCAAGUCGAACGGAAAGGCCCUGCUUUUGUGGGGUGCUCGAGUGGCGAACGGGUGAGUAACACGUGAGUAACCUGCCCUUGACUUUGGGAUAACUUCAGGAAACUGGGGCUAAUACCGGAUAGGAGCUCCUGCUGCAUGGUGGGGGUUGGAAAGUUUCGGCGGUUGGGGAUGGACUCGCGGGUUAUCAGCUUGUUGGUGGGGUAGUGGCUUACCAAGGCUUUGACGGGUAGCCGGCCUGGGAGGGUGACCGGCCACAUUGGGACUGAGAUACGGCCCAGACUCCUACGGGAGGCAGCAGUGGGGAAUAUUGCACAAUGGGCGGAAGCCUGAUGCAGCAACGCCGCGUGCGGGAUGACGGCCUUCGGGGUGUAAACCGCAGUCGCCUGUGACGAAGCGUGAGUGACGGUAAUGGGUAAAGAAGCACCGGCUAACUACGUG
rnacentral:rRNA from 1 species